AAAAAGCGCGAGGAAGGACACAAGGAAAGUCCUCACUAUCCUUAUUAUACACCAUUCAUCACACGUAGAGCUUAUUUAGCAUUACUGACGCUUUCAUCAAUAGGGAAAAUGUACUCAUGCAAGAUGAGGAUAACGAACAGUGAUCAAUCUCAUAACUCCUAUAAGCAAUACAAAGUAGAUAGUUGGGCAAACACGGACCCCUGGACACACCAGAGGUGGGAUCAGGUGCCUAGGAGGAGUAAGCAUCCCCUGUUGACCGGUCACACCCGCCGUGAGCCCUGUAUCCUGAUCAGGGACGAAGGCCGGAAAGCAACGAAACCAACUACUGAAUACUCUUGAUACUCUGCAAGACGGACUGGUUUUAUGAACAACAUGCAGUUGAAACUUCACCCAGAUGUGGAAACCAAUGACAGCGAGAAGCCUCAUACAGCACUCUCAACCUUCUUACUUAUUGCGUUCGUGAUACUAGGGACUAUUUUAUGUCAUGUUAUAUUGUGUGUAAUCAGUUCCUUGUGUAAAAGACUCUUCCGUUCGAAAA